rnacentral:piRNA from 1 species
UNGUGAUUAGGUUUGCGAGGCAUUCCAGG